AGUGAACGCUGGCGGUAGGCCUAACACAUGCAAGUCGAACGGCAGCACAGUAAGAGCUUGCUCUUACGGGUGGCGAGUGGCGGACGGGUGAGGAAUACAUCGGAAUCUACUUUUUCGUGGGGGAUAACGUAGGGACACUUACGCUAAUACCGCAUACGACCUACGGGUGAAAGCAGGGGAUCUUCGGACCUUUCGCGAUUGAAUGAGCCGAUGUCGGAUUAGCUAGUUGGCGGGGUAAAGGCCCACCAAGGCGACGAUCCGUAGCUGGUCUGAGAGGAUGAUCAGCCACACUGGAACUGAGACACGGUCCAGACUCCUACGGGAGGCAGCAGUGGGGAAUAUUGGACAAAGGGCGCAAGCCUGAUCCAGCCAUACCGCGUGGGUGAAGAAGGCCUUCGGGUUGUAAAGCCCUUUUGUUGGGAAAGAAAAGCAGCAGGUUAAUACCCCGCUGUUCUGACGGUACCCAAAGAAUAAGCACCGGCUAACUUCGUG
rnacentral:rRNA from 1 species